GUCAAGUGAAUAAGUGCACAUGGUGGAUGCCUUGGCGGCAACAGGCGAUGAAGGACGUAGUAAUCUGCGAUAAGCCUAGGGGAGCUGAUAAACACGCUUUGAUCCUAGGAUUUCCGAAUGGGGAAACCCACCUAAUUUAUUAGGUAUCCUUAACUGAAUACAUAGGUUAAGGAGGCGAACCCGGGGAACUGAAACAUCUAAGUACCCGGAGGAAAAGAAAUCAACCGAGAUUCCCUUAGUAGCGGCGAGCGAACGGGGACCAGGCCUUAAGUUGAUUACGUUUUAGUGGAAUGCUCUGGAAAGUGCAGCCAUAGUGGGUGAUAGCCCCGUACACGAAAAGACGUUUUCAAUGAAAUCGAGUAGGGCGGGACACGUGAAAUCCUGUCUGAACAUGGGGGGCCCACCCUCCAAGCCUAAAUACUAGUUGCCGACCGAUAGUGAACCAGUACCGUGAGGGAAAGGCGAAAAGAACCCCUUUUAGGGGAGUGAAAUAGAACCUGAAACCGUGUGCAUACAAGCAGUAGGAGCUCUUCGUGAGUGACUGCGUACCUUUUGUAUAAUGGGUCAACGACUUACUUUUAGUGGCAAGCUUAACCGUAUAGGGGAGGCGUAGAGAAAUCGAGUCUUAAUAGGGCGUCGAGUCGCUAGGAGUAGACCCGAAACCGGGCGAUCUAUCCAUGGUCAGGUUGAAGGUGGGGUAACACCUACUGGAGGACCGAACCCACUUAUGUUGAAAAAUGAGGGGAUGAACUGUGGAUAGGAGUGAAAGGCUAAUCAAGCUCGGAGAUAGCUGGUUCUCCUCGAAAUCUAUUUAGGUAGAGCCUCGUGUAUAACUGUUGGGGGUAGAGCACUGUUAUGGCUAGGGGGUCAUCCCGACUUACCAACCCAUUGCAAACUCCGAAUACCGACAAGUUCAAGCACGGGAGACAGACAGCGGGUGCUAACGUCCGUUGUCAAGAGGGAAACAACCCAGACCACCAGCUAAGGUCCCUAAAUAUAGCUCAGUGGGAAACGAUGUGAGAAGGCACAGACAGCCAGGAGGUUGGCUUAGAAGCAGCCACCCUUUAAAGAAAGCGUAAUAGCUCACUGGUCGAGUCGGCUCGCGCGGAAGAUGUAACGGGGCUUAAGCUAUAUACCGAAGCUGUGGAUUCAUACUUAUGUAUGAGUGGUAGAGGAGCGUUCUGUAAGCCGUUGAAGGUGUUCUGGAAGGAAUGCUGGAGGUAUCAGAAGUGCGAAUGUUGACGUGAGUAACGAUAAUGCGGGUGAGAAACCCGCACGCCGAAAACCCAAGGUUUCCUGCGCAACGCUAAUCGGCGCAGGGUUAGUCGGUACCUAAGGCGAGGCCGAAAGGCGUAGUCGAUGGAAAACAGGUUAAUAUUCCUGUACCGAACGUAACUGCGAUGGGGGGACGGAGCAGGCUAAAUUAUCCGGGCGUUGGUUGUCCCGGUUCAAGUGUGUAGGCAGAGAACUUAGGAAAAUCCGGGUUCUUAAUGCUGAGACACGAUGACGUAACUCUCUUCGGAGAGCCAAGUAGUUGAUGCCAUACUUCCAGGAAAAGCCCCUAAGCUUCAGGUUACGUUUGACCGUACCCCAAACCGACACAGGUGGGUGGGAUGAGAAUUCUAAGGCGCUUGAGAGAACACUGGUGAAGGAACUAGGCAAAAUGGUACCGUAACUUCGGGAGAAGGUACGCCCCUGACGGUGAAGGAUUUACUCCGUAAGCUGUUGGGGGUUGCAAUAAAAUGGUGGCUGCAACUGUUUACUAAAAACAUAGCACUCUGCAAACUCGCAAGAGGACGUAUAGGGUGUGACGCCUGCCCGGUGCCGGAAGGUUAAUUGAUGGGGUUAUCUUCGGAGAAGCUCUUGAUCGAAGCCCCGGUAAACGGCGGCCGUAACUAUAACGGUCCUAAGGUAGCGAAAUUCCUUGUCGGGUAAGUUCCGACCUGCACGAAUGGCGUAAUGAUGGCCACACUGUCUCCACCAGUGACUCAGUGAAAUCGAAAUAGCUGUUAAGAUGCAGUUUACCCGCGGCUAGACGGAAAGACCCCGUGAACCUUUACUAUAGCUUUGCACUGAACUUUGAGCCUACCUGUGUAGGAUAGGUGGGAGACUUUGAAGCGGUAACGCCAGUUAUCGUGGAGUCAACCUUGAAAUACCACCCUGGUAUGUUUGAAGUUCUAACCUAGACCCGUUAUCCGGGUUGGGGACAGUGUAUGGUGGGUAGUUUGACUGGGGCGGUCUCCUCCUAAAGAGUAACGGAGGAGUACGAAGGUGCACUCAGCGCGGUCGGACAUCGCGCAAUGAGCAUAAUGGUAGAAGUGCGCUUGACUGCGAGACAGACACGUCGAGCAGGUACGAAAGUAGGUCAUAGUGAUCCGGUGGUUCUUAGUGGUAGGGCCAUCGCUCAACGGAUAAAAGGUACUCCGGGGAUAACAGGCUGAUACCGCCCAAGAGUUCAUAUCGACGGCGGUGUUUGGCACCUCGAUGUCGGCUCAUCACAUCCUGGGGCUGAAGCAGGUCCCAAGGGUAUGGCUGUUCGCCAUUUAAAGUGGUACGCGAGCUGGGUUUAGAACGUCGUGAGACAGUUCGGUCCCUAUCUGCCGUGGGCGUUUGAGAAUUGAUGGGAGCUGCUCCUAGUACGAGAGGACCGGAGUGGACGUACCCCUGGUGUUCCGGUUGUUAUGCCAAUAGCAUUGCCGGGUAGCUACGUACGGAACGGAUAACCGCUGAAAGCAUCUAAGCGGGAAGCCGGCCCAAAGAUGAGUUCUCACUGGAACUUUAAGUUCCUUGUAGGUCCGUCGAAGACUACGACGUUGAUAGGCAGGGUGUUGAAGCGCAGUAAUGUGUGAAGCUAACCUGUACUAAUUGACCGUAAGGCUUGACC
rnacentral:rRNA from 1 species